AAGGACAAUGGCAUAGUCUCUCAAUGAACUCCUCUUGAAACAUCUCAACUCAAUGAGGUAUCCGAAAGGAGAAACAGGACCCUAUUGGAUAUAGUCAGAUCCAUGAUGAGCUUCACUGACUAUCCUUAUAUCUUUGGGGACAUACCUUAUUAACCAUCAUUCACCUGUUGAAUAGAAUUCCAUCAAAGUUUGUUCCUACCA
rnacentral:lncRNA from 1 species